AGUGAACGCUGGCGGUAGGCCUAACACAUGCAAGUCGAACGGCAGCACAGUAAGAGCUUGCUCUUACGGGUGGCGAGUGGCGGACGGGUGAGGAAUACAUCGGAAUCUACUUUUUCGUGGGGGAUAACGUAGGGAAACUUACGCUAAUACCGCAUACGACCUACGGGUGAAAGCAGGGGAUCUUCGGACCUUGCGCGAUUGAAUUAGCCGAUGUCGGAUUAGCUAGUUGGCGGGGUAAAGGCCCACCAAGGCAACGAUCCGUAGCUGGUCUGAGAGGAUGAUCAGCCACACUGGAACUGAGACACGGUCCAGACUCCUACGGGAGGCAGCAGUGGGGAAUAUUGGACAAUGGGCGCAAGCCUGAUCCAGCCAUACCGCGUGGGUGAAGAAGGCCUUCGGGUUGUAAAGCCCUGUUGUUGGGAAAGAAAAGCAGCAGGUUAAUACCCCGCUGUUCUGACGGUACCCAAAGAAUAAGCACCGGCUAACUUCGUG
rnacentral:rRNA from 1 species